AUACGUAGGGGGCAAGCGUUAUCCGGAUUUACUGGGUGUAAGGGAGCGUAGACGGUAAAGCAAGUCUGAAGUGAAAGCUCGGGGCUCAACCCCGGAACUGCUUUGGAAACUGUUUUACUGGAGUGCAGGAGAGGUAAGCGGAAUUCCUAGUGUAGCGGUGAAAUGCGUAGAUAUUAGGAGGAACACCAGAGGCGAAGGCGGCUUACUGGACUGUAACUGACGUUGAGGCUUGAAGGCGUGGGGAGCAAACAGGAUUAGAUACCCUGGUAGUCCACGCGGUAAACGAUGAUCACUAGGUGUCGGCGGCCAUAGGCGGUCGGUGCCGCAGCAAACGCAAUAAGUGAUCCACCUGGGGAGUACGUUCGCAAGAAUGAAACUCAAAUGAAUUGACGGGG
rnacentral:rRNA from 1 species